rnacentral:rRNA from 1 species
CCUACGGGCGGCAGCAGUGGGGAAUAUUGGACAAUGGGGGGAACCCUGAUCCAGCCAUGCCGCGUGUGUGAAGAAGGCCCUCGGGUUGUAAAGCACUUUCAGUGAGGAAGAACGCCUGGUGGUUAAUACCCAUCAGGAAAGACAUCACUCACAGAAGAAGCACCGGCUAACUCCGUACCAGCAGCCGCGGUAAUACGGAGGGUGCGAGCGUUAAUCGGAAUUACUGGGCGUAAAGCGCGCGUAGGGGGCUUGAUAAGCCGGUUGUGAAAGCCCCGGGCUCAACCUGGGAACGGCAUCCGGAACUGUCAAGCUAGAGUGCAGGAGAGGAAGGUAGAAUUCCCGGUGUAGCGGUGAAAUGCGUAGAGAUCGGGAGGAAUACCAGUGGCGAAGGCGGCCUUCUGGACUGACACUGACACUGAGGUGCGAAAGCGUGGGUAGCAAACAGGAUUAGAUACCCGUGUAGUC